AAUUCCCUUACUGGGGCCUAAGCCUUCAUAGUAGCAAGGGUCUCUCCUUCCAUUGGUGCCAGACAAGGCCAUCCUCUGCUACAUAUGUGGCUGGAGCCAUGGGACCAUGUGUAUUCCUUGGUUGAUAGUUUAGUCCCUGGGAACUCUGGUUGGUUGAUAUUGUGGGUCUUCCUAUGAGUUGCAAACCACUUCAGCUCCUUCAGUUUUUUCUCUAACUUCUCUAUUGGGGACCCCAUUCCAAUGGUUGGCUGUGAACAUUCGCCUCUGUAUUUCUCAGGCUCUGGCAGAGCCCCUCUAUAGAGACAGCUAUAUCAGGCUACUGUCAGCAAGCACUUCUUGGCAUCUACAAUAGUGUCUGGGUUUGGUGACUUCAUAUGGGAUGGAUCUCCAGGUGAAGAAUUCAUUGGAUGACCUUUGCUUCAGUCUCUGCUACAUACUUUGUCUCUGAUUUUGCUAAUAUGGGCAUUUUCUUCCCCUUUCUAAGAAGGACUGAAGCACUCACACUUCUUCUUGAGCUUCAUGUGGUCUAUGAAUUGUAUUUUGGGUAUUUUGAGCCUUUGGGAUAAUAUCCAGUUAUCAGUGAGUGAAUACCAUGUGUGGUCUUUUGUGAUUGGGCUACCUCACUCAGGAUGAUAAUUUCUAGUUUUAUCCAUUUACUUAAGAAUUUCAUGAAGUCAUUGUUUUAAUAACUGAGUAGUAAUCCAUUGUGUAAAUUUACCUUAUUUUCUGGAUCCAUUCCUCUGUUGAACAACAUCUGGGUUCUUUCUGCCUUCUAGCUAUUGUAAAUAAGGCUUCUAUGAACUUAGUGAAGAAUGCAUCCUUGUUAUAUUGUGGAGAAUAUUUUGGGUACAUGCCCAGGAGUGGUAUAGCUGGGUGCUCAGGUAGUACUAUGUUCAAUAUUUUGAGGAACUGCCAAAAUGAUUUCCAGAGUGGUUGUACCAGCUUGCAAUCCUACCAGAAAUGGAGGAGUGUGCCUCUUUCUCCACAUCCUUGUCAGCAUCUGCUGUUACCUGAGUUGUUGAUCUUAGCCAUUUUGAUUGGUGUGAAGUGGAUUCUCAGGGAAUUUUCAUUUCCCUUAUGACUAAGGAUAUUGAACAUUUCUUUAGGUGCUUCUCAGCAUUUCAAUACUAAACAAUUCUUUGUUUAGCUCUCUACUCCAUUUUUAUUAGGGGUAUUUGAUUCUCUGGAGUCCACCUUCUUGAGUUCUUUGUACAUAUUGGAUAUUAGCCCUCUAUUGGGUUUAGGAUUGGUAAAGAUCUUUUUCCAAUCUGUUUGUUGCCAUUUUGUCCUAUUAACAGUGUCCUUUGACUGACUUUUAAUCAAAGGUUACCAAAAAAAGAUAAGGAAGGACACAUCAUACUCCUCAAAGGACAAAUCCACCAAAAUGAACUCUCAAUUCUGAACAUCUAUGGUAUAAAUGCAAGGGCACCAACAUUCAUAAAAAUAACUUCACUAAAACUCAAAGGACACAUUGCAUCUUACAUAAUAAUAGUGGGAGACUUCAACACCCUACUUUCACCAAUGGGUCAUGGAAACAAACUAAUCAGAGACAAAGUGAAACUUACAGAAGUUAUAAACUAAAUGGAUUUAACAAAUAUUUAUAGAACGUUUGAUCCUAAAACAAUAUAUAUAUAUUCUACUAGAUUGAUCAUAUAAUUGGUCACAGAACGGGCCUCAACAGAUACAAGAAGAUUGAAAUAAUACCAUCUGAUUACCACAUGUGAUAACCACAGACUAAAGCUGAUCUUCAAUAGCAACAAAAACAAUAGAAAGCCCACAUAGAUGUGGAACCUGAUCAACACUCUACUCAGUGAUAACUUGGUCAUGAAUGAAAUAAAGAAAGAUGUUAAAGGCUUUCUACAAUUUAAUGUCAAUGAAGGCACAUCAUACCAAAACUUAUGGGACACAAUGAAAACAGUGGUAAGAGGAAACUUCAUAGUUUUAAGUGCCUCCAAAAGAAACUGGAGAGAGCUAUACAAUAGCAGCUUAACAGCACCACUGAAAGCUCUAGAACAAAAGGAAGCAAAUUUACUCAAGAGGAGUAGACUGGAGGAAACAAUCAAACUCAGGGCUGAAAUCAACCAAAUAGAAACAAAAAGAAUUAUACAAAGAAUCAACAAAACCAAGAUCUAGUUCUUUAUGAAAAUCUACAAAAUAGAUGAACCUUUAGCCAGACAGACUAGAGUGCACAGUAAUAGUAUCCAAAUUAAUUAAAUCAGAAAUGAAAAGGGCGACACAACAACGGAAACUGAGUAAAUUCAAAAAAUCAUCCCAAAAGCCUAUACUCAACAAAACUGGAAAAUCUGGAUGAAAUGGACAAUUUUCUAGAUGGAUACCAGGUGCCAAAGUUAAAUCAGGAUCAGAUAAACCAUCUACACAGUCCCAUAACCCAUAAUAAAAUACACACAGUAAUUAAAAGUCUCCCACCCCCACACGCCC
rnacentral:lncRNA from 1 species